rnacentral:rRNA from 1 species
UACAGAGGAGCCAAGCGUUGUCCGGAUUUAUUGGGCGUAAAGAGCUCGUAGGCGGCUUGUCGCGUCGACUGUGAAAACCCGUGGCUCAACCAUGUGGUCUGCAGUCGAUACGGGCAGGCUAGAAUUCGGUAGGGGAGACUGGAAUUCCUGGUGUAGCGGUGAAAUGCGCAGAUAUCAGGAGGAACACCGGUGGCGAAGGCGGGUCUCUGGGCCGAUAUUGACGCUGAGGAGCGAAAGCGUGGGGAGCGAACAGG